UGAACGCUAGCGGCAGGCCUAACACAUGCAAGUCGAGGGGUAACGAUGUCUUCGGACAGGCGACGACCGGCGCACGGGUGAGUAUCGCGUUUGUAACCUACCUCUAACUGGAGAAUAGCCCGAAGAAAUUCGGAUUAAUACUCCAUAAUACUAUGAUCUGGCAUCUUUUUAUAGUUAAAGCUCCGGCGGUUAGAGAUGGGCAUGCGUGACAUUAGUUUGUUGGUGAGGUAAGAGCUCACCAAGACUACGAUGUCUAGGGGGUCUGAGAGGAUGGUCCCCCACACUGGUACUGAGACACGGACCAGACUCCUACGGGAGGCAGCAGUGAGGAAUAUUGGUCAAUGGGCGCAAGCCUGAACCAGCCAUGCCGCGUGAAGGAUGACGGCGCUAUGCGUUGUAAACUUCUUUUGUACAGGAAGAAACACUUCUACGUGUAGAAGCUUGACGGUACUGUACGAAUAAGCAUCGGCUAACUCC
rnacentral:rRNA from 1 species